AAUGAAGAGAAUCAACCUUGGAAUUUGAAUUACUUAUUGUGCCAUCCACGUAUUUCCUUCAUUCAGAAAAGAGUAUAUAAGUCCAGAGAAUUGGAGCUAGAAUCAUACUUUUUAGUUCUCCAGCUAACAAAGAUCUUUCAAGAUGCAAACCUUAUUUGUUCUCCUUGUCUUGGUGGCCUUGGUAGUGUGCACUCUUGCACAGUGGCCUUACUACGGUGGAUACUACGCUGGCUACAACCCCUACGUUGCUGCCCCUUAUGCCUACAACUACUACGGAGCCUACAACCCAGCUUUGAGCUACUUGUGGAAGAAAUGAAGAUAUAAAUUUGAGGUAUAAAGAAUCAAAUCCAGGUAUACACUUUUGAUGCCUGUAGACUACAAUUCAAGACUGCAAUUUUUGCUCAAAAUUUAAUAAAGAACAACUAAAUUAAUAAAGAACAUCUUCGAAACGGCAUUAAAUGCAACAUAAAGAAAUGUAAAACAACCAAU